rnacentral:lncRNA from 1 species
UAUGAUUGGUAAAAAAAUUUCACCCAUAGAGCGGAUGGAAUGUAUGAUAUACACUUUGCAGAGGGUGUAUAUUUGGAUAGUAUUUUUUGUAACAAAAUAUGGUAAAAUUAUACGGAACUUAUCUGAACUAUAAAUGAUUUUGAAUCUGCUGCUCAACCAUUCAAAAUUUUGAUUUACUAUCGAACCUUUCAAUUUAUUAGAUUUGAGUCAGGCAACAGUAAUUUAAUUUAAGCUAAUUAUUUACUUUAAUAAAUUUUUGGUUGUAAGAAUUACGUGAAAUAUAGAUCUUUCUGAAUCAGCUAUCCAAUCCUUUGAACCGGCCACUCAACAUACAGAGUUUAUCUGAACUAUGAAUUAUUUUGAAUCGAUUAUCCAACCUUUUUGAAUUUUGAUUUUAUAACACAACUUUUUAGUUUGUUUGAUUUGAGCAAGUCAACGGUACUUUGACUUCAAAAUUUAAACUGAUUAUUUUAAUGAAUUUAUAAUUGCGAAAAAUUUUAUGAAGUAUAGUAAAUCUAUAGAGAUAAAUAAUGUAUUCAAAAUUUAAAAAUAAAGGUAUUGUUGACCGACUCAAAUCAAAUAAACUAGAAGAAUAAACAGUAAAAAUAAAUUUUGAAAGAAUGAAUAGCUAAUUCAAAAUAGUCGAUAGUAUAAGUUCUGUACAUUUGUACCUAAAAAUAGCAAUGAGAGAGAGAGAGAGAGAGAGAGAGAGAGAGAGAGAGAAUAUUAGGCUUUAAUUAGGAAA